ACGGCUCAGUAACACGUGGCUAACCUACCCUUGGGACGGGGACAAUCCCGGGAAACUGGGGCUAAUAUCAGAUAGGAGAGGAGGCCUGGAAUGGUUCCUCUCUCAAAGGGUUUUGAGACCAUGCUUCUCAACGCCGCCCAAGGAUGGGGCCGCGGCCGAUCAGGUUGUUGGUGUGGUAACGGCUCACCAAGCCUAUAACCGGUACGGGCCAUGAGAGUGGGAGCCCGGAGAUGGGCACUGAGACAAGGGCCCAAGCCCUACGGGGUGCAGCAGUCGCGAAAACUCCGCAAUGCGCGAAAGCGUGACGGGGCUAUCCCGAGUGCCGUCCGCUGAGGAUGGCUUUUCUCCGCUGUAAGGAGGCGGAGGAAUAAGGAGAGGGCAAGACUGGUGUCAGCCGCCGCGGUAAUACCAGCUCUCCGAGUGGUAGGGAUGAUUAUUGGGCUUAAAGCGUUCGUAGCCGGCCCAGUAAGUCUUUCGUUAAAUCCAGCGAUUCAAUCGUUGGACCGCGGAAGAUACUGUUGGGCUAGGGGGCGGGAGAGGUCGACGGUAUUCUUGGGGUAGGGGUGAAAUCCAGUAAUCCCAGGAGGACCACCAGUGGCGAAGGCGAUCGACCAGGACGCGCCCGACGGUGAGGGACGAAAGCUGGGGGAGCGAACCGGAUUAGAUACCCGGGUAGUCCCAGCCGUAAACGAUGCGGGCUAGGUGUUGGAGUGGCCAAGUGCCACUUCAGUGCCGCAUGAAAACAAUUAAGCCCGCCGCCUGGGGGAGUACGGCCGCAAGGCUGAAACUUAAAGGAAUUGGCGGGGGAGCACCACAAGGGGUGAAGCUUGCGGUUCAAUUGGAGUCAACGCCGGG
rnacentral:rRNA from 1 species